GUAGCUCAGCUGGAUAGAGUACCUGGCUACGAACCAGGCGGUCAGAGGUUCGAAUCCUCUCGAGCGCGCCA
rnacentral:tRNA from 1 species